rnacentral:rRNA from 1 species
GAUGAACGCUGGCGGCGUGCCUAAUACAUGCAAGUCGAGCGAACAGACGAGGAGCUUGCUCCUCUGACGUUAGUGGUGGACGGGUGAGUAACACGUGGAUAACCUACCUAUAAGACUGGGAUAACUUCGGGAAACCGGAGCUAAUACCGGAUAACAUGUUGAACCGCAUGGUUCAACAGUGAAAGACGGUCUUGCUGUCACUUAUAGAUGGAUCCGCGCCGCAUUAGCUAGUUGGUAAGGUAACGGCUUACCAAGGCAACGAUGCGUAGCCGACCUGAGAGGGUGAUCGGCCACACUGGAACUGAGACACGGUCCAGACUCCUACGGGAGGCAGCAGUAGGGAAUCUUCCGCAAUGGGCGAAAGCCUGACGGAGCAACGCCGCGUGAGUGAAGAAGGUCUUCGGAUCGUAAAACUCUGUUAUUAGGGAAGAACAAAUGUGUAAGUAACUAUGCACGUCUUGACGGUACCUAAUCAGAAAGCCACGGCUAACUACGUG